GACGAACGCUGGCGGCAUGCCUAACACAUGCAAGUCGAACGAGACCUUCGGGUCUAGUGGCGCACGGGUGCGUAACGCGUGGGAACCUGCCCUUGGGUUCGGAAUAACUCCCCGAAAGGGGUGCUAAUACCGGAUAAUGUCUUCGGACCAAAGAUUUAUCGCCGUUGGAUGGGCCCGCGUUGGAUUAGCUAGUUGGUAGGGUAAAAGCCUAGCAAGGCGACGAUCCAUAGCUGGUCUGAGAGGAUGAUCAGCCACACUGGGACUGAGACACGGCCCAGACUCCUACGGGAGGCAGCAGUGGGGAAUAUUGGACAAUGGGCGAAAGCCUGAUCCAGCAAUGCCGCGUGAGUGAUGAAGGCCUUAGGGUCGUAAAGCUCUUUUACCCGGGAUGAUAAUGACAGUACCGGGAGAAUAAGCUCCGGCUAACUCCGUG
rnacentral:rRNA from 1 species